UACAGAGAGUGCGAACGUUGUUCGGAAUUACUGGGCUUAAAGCGCACGUAGGCGGCGCCGCAAGUGCGGGGUGAAAUCCCACGGCUUACCCGUGGAACUGCCUUGCAGACUGUGGUGCUAGAGGAUGGUAGGGGAGAGCGGAACUCCUGGUGGAGCGGUGAAAUGCGUAGAUAUCAGGAGGAACACCGGUGGCGAAGGCGGCUCUCUGGUCCAUGACUGACGCUGAGGUGCGAAAGCGUGGUGAGCAAACAGG
rnacentral:rRNA from 1 species